rnacentral:rRNA from 1 species
UACGUAGGGUGCAAGCGUUAAUCGGAAUUACUGGGCGUAAAGCGUGCGCAGGCGGUUAUGUAAGACAGGUGUGAAAUCCCCGGGCUUAACCUGGGAACUGCAUUUGUGACUGCAUAGCUAGAGUACGGUAGAGGGGGAUGGAAUUCCGCGUGUGGCAGUGAAAUGCGUAGAUAUGCGGAGGAACACCGAUGGCGAAGGCAAUCCCCUGGACCUGUACUGACGCUCAUGCACGAAAGCGUGGGGAGCAAACAGG